rnacentral:rRNA from 1 species
UUCCGGUUGAUCCCGCCGGACCCGACCGCUAUCGGGGUAGGGCUAAGCCAUGGGAGUCGUACACCCCCGGGAAGGGGGUGUGGCGGACGGCUGAGUAACACGUGGCUAACCUACCCUCGGGACGGGGAUAACCCCGGGAAACUGGGGAUAAUCCCCGAUAGGGGAAGAGUCCUGGAACGGUUCUUCCCCUAAAGGGCUAUGGGCUGUUCCCGCUCAUAGCUGCCCGAGGAUGGGGCUGCGGCCCAUCAGGCUGUUGGCGGGGUAAAGGCCCGCCAAACCUAUAACGGGUAGGGGCCGUGGGAGCGGGAGCCCCCAGUUGGGCACUGAGACAAGGGCCCAGGCCCUACGGGGCGCACCAGGCGCGAAACGUCCCCAAUGCGCGAAAGCGUGAGGGCGCUACCCCGAGUGCCUCCGAAAGGAGGCUUUUCCCCGCUCUAAUAAGGCGGGGGAAUAAGCGGGGGGCAAGUCUGGUGUCAGCCGCCGCGGUAAUACCAGCUCCGCGAGUGGUCGGGGCGCUUACUGGGCCUAAAGCGCCUGUAGCCGGCCCACCAAGUUACCCCUUAAAGACCCGAGCUCAACUCGGGGACUGGGGGUAAUACUGGUGGGCUAGGGGGCGGGAGAGGCGGGAGGUACUCCCGGAGUAGGGGCGAAAUCCGUAGAUACCGGGAGGACCACCAGUGGCGGAGGCGUCCCGCUAGAACGCGCCCGACGGUGAGAGGCGAAAGCCGGGGCAGCAAACGGGAUUAGAUACCCCGGUAGUCCCGGCUGUAAACGAUGCGGGCUAGGUGUCAGACGGGCUUAGAGCCCGUCUGGUGCCGCAGGGAAGCCGUUAAGCCCGCCGCCUGGGGAGUACGGUCGCAAGACUGAAACUUAAAGGAAUUGGCGGG